rnacentral:rRNA from 1 species
GAAUCAACGCUGGCGGCGUGCCUCAGACAUGCAAGUCGAACGAUUAAAAGCUCUCUUCGGAGAGUGCAUAAAGUAGCGCACGGGUUGAGUAACACGUAAGUAAUCUACCUUCGAGUGGGGAAUAACUCAGGGAAACUUGAGCCUAAUACCGCAUAACGCAGCGGCAUCUUCGGAUGACAGUUGUUAAAGCAUUUAUGCGCUUGAAGAGGAGCUUGCGGCAGAUUAGGUAGUUGGUAAGGUAACGGCUUACCAAGCCGGCGAUCUGUAUCCGACCUGAGAGGGUGGUCGGACACACUGACACUGAAUAACGGGUCAGACUCCUACGGGAGGCAGCAGUCGGGAAUUUUGGGCAAUGGGCGAAAGCCUGACCCAGCAACGCCGCGUGAAGGAUGAAG